GUGCCUGAGAGUUCCACUUUCUGACUUCACCAGCACUGGAUAGGGCCUCCUCCCGGAGUGGUUCAGCUAGCCAGUUGGCAUCAGAAGAGCACCGUUUGGAAGGGAGUGUGUGUGGGCUGCCUGCAGGGCCAAACAGCCAUGAAGAGCUCCAGGCGGGCCCAGGAAGGAGACAGAGAUUGGCUGCCGUCCAGUUGAGCUGGCUCACAAGAAGUUCAGCUUCCUUGUCCUCUCACAGACAGUCCCUUCCAUGCUGACCUUUGACUAGCCUGCAGGGCUCUCGCGCCCUAACCCUGCUGCCUCUUUGCCCACACUCUUCCUCUUCCCCACACUGUUGGUACUUCUUGGAAGAGGGAAAAAGCCUGAGGAAAAAGGGCUGGGGAGAGGAAAAGUGAAAGUCCUAACUCUCGAGCCUCUAAGGAUUUUCUCCCUGUCCUUGAUAGGAGACAUAGUGUUAAUUUAAAAGGAUGUCAAUGUAUGACAUGCGAAAUUUGCAAAAAUAUGGAGAAUUUAGCGUGCUCUAUGUAUUAGGGUAAUUUACAAGCCUCAGAAGAACAUGCUAGCCCUUCUGCAAAUAUCCCAUAGUCUUUUUUAAACUCCGUAUUUAAUCAAACUUUUUGCAGACGGUUUGCUUCCUUUUUGUAACUAUUAUCAGUAGUUCUGUUGUAGGGGAAUAGAUUUAAGGAAAAAUUGCAGUGCAUAUAGACAAUGAUCAAGUAGCUUAUAAAUUUUAAUGCCAAAGACUUUGAAAAUGCAAAUGAUUUUUUUCAUAAUUAUUUGAUUAAUUUUGAAAGAGACCCAAACAAUAUAUAACACCUUCUAUACUGGGUUUAAGAUUUAAGAAAGAGGUAAAUUAUAUGGAGCAAAAAUUGUAAAAUUACCUUUAUCAUUGCAAAAGUAAACAUUUGAUUGUA